UGUUGUUGUUGGAUUUUUGAACCGUGUAUUCCUCUAUGAUUGCCAGUUGGUUUCUUACAUUUUCCUCAUCAUUUUCCUUUUGUAGCACUUUAAAUUUGUUGGUAGUAUGGAUUUGUUUAUUGAAAUUGAGUUUGUUACCAAGUAUUUCUUUGCUUUGUGAAACUGAGACUUCAGUUUGUUUUUCUUUGUUUAGUGUCCUAUUGUCACGGACCUCCUUCCAUUGAGGGAAUUGGGGAGCCUUAGGGUCCCCAUUCUGUCUCAAACCAUCUUUUACCAAAGCAUGAUGUGCAGCUAAAUCAAUUCGACCAA
rnacentral:lncRNA from 1 species